UACCGUACCCGUACCGUAAACCGACACAGGUGGAUGAGGAGAGAAUCCUAAGGCCGGCGGAAGAAGCAUUGUCAAGGAACUCGGCAAAAUGGCCCCGUAACUUAGGGAUAAGGGGUGCCUGGGAAACCAGGCCGCAGAGAAUAGGCUCAAGCAACUGUUUAGCAAAAACACAGGUCUAUGCGAAACCGAAAGGUGAGGUAUAUGGGCUGACGCCUGCCCGGUGCUGGAAGGUUAAGAGGAGAGGUUAGCGGUAACGCGAAGCUUUGAAUUUAAGCCCCAGUAAACGGCGGCCGUAACUAUAACGGUCCUAAGGUAGCGAAAUUCCUUGUCGGGUAAGUUCCGACCCGCACGAAAGGCGUAAUGAUUUGAGCGCUGUCUCGACAAUGCAUCCGGUGAAAUUGAAGUACCAGUGAAGAUGCUGGUUACCUGCGCCAGGACGGAAAGACCCCAUGGAGCUUUACUCCAGUCUGGUACUGGGACUCGGUAUUGCAUGUACAGGAUAGGUGGGAGGCUAGGAGAUGGUAACGCCAGUUGCCAUGGAGCCGCUGUUGGGAUACCACCCUUGCAGUAUUGGGUUUCUAACCAGCCGCCGUGACCCGGCGGUGGGACAAUGCCAGACGGGGAGUUUGACUGGGGCGGUCGCCUCCGAAAGGGUAUCGGAGGCGCCCAAAGGUUCCCUCAGAAUGGACGGAAACCAUUCGAAGAGUGCAAAGGCAGAAGGGAGCUUGACUGCGACACCGACGGGUGGAGCAGGUACGAAAGUAGGGCUUAGUGAUCCGGUGGUAUUAAGUGGGAAUGCCAUCGCUCAACGGAUAAAAGCUACCCUGGGGAUAACAGGCUUAUCACUCCCAAGAGUUCACAUCGACGGAGUGGUUUGGCACCUCGAUGUCGGCUCAUCGCAUCCUGGGGCUGUAGUAGGUCCCAAGGGUUGGGCUGUUCGCCCAUUAAAGCGGUACGCGAGCUGGGUUCAGAACGUCGUGAGACAGUUCGGUCCCUAUCCGGCGUGGGCGUAGGAUAUCUGAGAGGAGCUGUCCUUAGUACGAGAGGACCGGGAUGGACGGGCCGCUGGUGCAUCGGUUAGACUGCCAAGUCUACGGCCGAGUAGCCAAGCCCGGAAGGGAUAAACGCUGAAGGCAUCUAAGCGUGAAGCCCCCCUUAAGAUGAGAUAUCCCAUUCG
rnacentral:rRNA from 1 species